rnacentral:lncRNA from 1 species
AUGAAGAUUCAUCUGCAAUAGGAUUUAUUACUACAGGAUUCUCCAUCAUCUAAAGCAAUAGAGGUUUUCUGGGGAGGUGUGGCGUCAUUAUUCCCAAAUAUGAAUGCUUUGUAUAGAAUGGCAUGCGAAGAGUUUCACUAGCACAGACUGGAAUAUGUUCCAUGAUUCAUCCGAUAACAUUGAGGAGUUUACCUUCAAUCACAGUGACCGUACAUAUCCCAAACAGAAGCCAUGGAUUACAGGCAAUAUCCACACGGAACUGAAGGCUAGAGCUGCAGCUUUCAAGUCUAAUCUGAACACUUAUAAUAAAUCCCGCUACAACCUCCGACGAGCCAUCAAACAGGCAAAGAGUCGAUACAGGACAAAGAUCGAAUCCUAUGCUGGCUCUGAAGCUCGUCGGAUGUGGCAGGGCUUGCAAACUAUCCCAAAUUACAAAUGGUAACCCAGCCGCAAGUUGCCCAGUGACGCGAGCCUACCAGACAAGCCAAAUGCCUUUUAUAUUCGCUUCGAGGCAAGCAACACUGAACCAUACAAGAGAGCACCAGCUGUUCCAGACAACUGUGUGAUCUCGUUCUCCGUAGCCUAUGUGAGUAUGACCUUUAAACAGGUUAAUAUUCACAAGGCCUUGGGGACAGAUUGAUUACCAGGAUGUGUACUCAGAGCAUGCUGACCCUCAACACGAGGGCCCCUCCUGUACUCCCUGUUCACCAAUGACUGUGUGGCCACGCACAACACCAUCAUAACAUUUGCUAACGAC